UCUUCUUGUUCUUGUUCUUGUUCUUCUGGUGAAGACAAAACCUUUAGCACGCGCCUCUUGGACACAUGUGUCCUUGUUGUUUCUCGUUUAUAUUCUGGUGCAGUGUUCGUGUACCAUGACGGUAUAGGUAGUGGCAGUGACGUAGCAAUAACUUCCGUUGCCAAUGGUGAUGCUCUUGAUUGCCGCUGGAUAAACAUUGUACGGUGUUAGACAUUUACAAUGGAGUAUUAAAAAGUCAGGAAAUUAAACGCACAGUUUGUAAAAAUGGACAAUUGCACCGUCUCACCUCUGGCUAAGUUAACACUCAGGUACACAUUUGAUUGUAAACAUUUGGAAUUUGCCGAAUUUAAUUUCUAUAUUCGUUUAUACAUUCAGACAAUCUGACAGGCAUAAAUACCACAAGAACAGUUCGACAUAUGUAUAUGUUUAAAAAAAAAAAUCAAUCUGUUAACGCAUUGAAGUGUUGAGUGGUGGGAGCUGUUCUUUGGAUGUGUCCGGGUCUCAUUGAGCUUGGUGUUCAUGAAUGUCGUGCACGCUUUGGGUGAUUUAAGGGUGAGGGUGAUGGUGAGGGCCAUGGCCAGCGUGGAAUGGAACGGCGCGUGAGAAAGUCUUCUGGGAACCGGCGAGCGAGGAAAGCGGGUUUGCGGCCCUGCUCGGGUUUGCGGCCCUGCUCGGGAUUGCGGCCCUGUUCGAGAUUGCAGCCUUGCUUGGGAUUGCGGCCCUGUUCGAGUUUGCGACAUACAGAAGGCCGGUGCCGUCAUGGACACGAGGAACUCGGCACUGCUCGAGGCUUUGGAUAAUGCUGACAGGACGAAAAAUGGAGGAUUUAUACAACCGCUCGAUCUGGAUGACGAUUUUUCAUCCGAAGCCGCUGAAAGACCUGUGAUUUUCUCCAAGGGAGAUGACAAGGGAAAGGGACAUGCUUCCCUACCAAAGCAACUUUCUGUGAACUUCAUCACCCGCUCCCCGCUCACCCGUUCCUCGCGCGCUCGAAGUCCUCCGGGCUUGAGUCCCAGCAGCUCCAAUAUGAGAAGGAACCUGAAGACUUCUGUGACCCCAUGCUUGAACAGCCACCCGCUAGAGCACAAGUCAAGUAUGGGAAGCGCUCUGUUGGUCCGCACUCCCAUCCGUAGUGACAUCGGGAGGUAAGGUGUGCGCGAAGUUCAACAUGGGCUGACAUAUUUAGGAACACUUUAACCUUCAGCAAAUUUUGUGCAGUUGUUAAAGGAAUGUCAUGUGAUUUGCACAUGCUGCCAAUGCAAACAAAUGCUACAGGGUGUAGCUGAGUGUUUCCAUUUUGAACGUGUUUUCCUAAUGCUUAUGUUGAGGUUCCGCUGCUCCUCCUUCGGUUGGUUGUGCCAGCAUCCCUUUCUGCCAAUCUGCAGGGGGAAAAAAAAGACCAAGAAAAAAAACAACUCAUCAUCUUUACAUGCAAUAAAGACCCAUAUUCUCACUCUCCCUCAGCCUGGUGUUGGCGCAGUGGUUCGGGCAGCGGCUUUGGAUCCAAAAGGUCCUGAGUUCAAGCCCUGUUGGGCCACUGAAUUAAUACACCAGGGGGUUGACUCAGCCUGUCAUCCUUCUGAGGUCGGCGAAAUGAGUACCAGUGUACUGGGCCGGUGUAUACCCCAGUUGAAAUAAAUGUACCAUAUCCCUGUGUCGUAAGAGGCGACCAGGGUUGCGUCAGGAAGGGCAUCCGGCAUAAAAAACAUGUGCCAAAUCACUAUGCGGAUCAUAGGGUUGAUCCGCUGUGGCGACCCCUAACGGGAGCAGCCGAAAGAAGAAGAAGAUUCUCACUCUCCCUCCUUGAUUGGGCAGACAAAUCACAUUUCUGUUGUCGUCCUCUGCAAGAGCUGCUGUUUAUGGAACUUCCUCAUAAACUGUCUUGGACAGAUUGUGCCUCCAAAGCUGGCCACCACCUCAAAACAGGACCUUACUCUGCUUUCCUAAGCUUGUAGUAGUAAACAAGGGCUUUUUUACAUUUCCUUUGGAUGUCUCAUGCAUUCAAAUCUGUCUGACGUCCUACUCUGCUUUCCAAGCAGUACCCUGAUCGUUUCUACAGUACAUUGAAUGGCCGGCAGGAUUCCUUGAUACUUGCAACCAGCGGUUUUCUUUGCAACACGUUCUGUACCAUGCUCUAUCUCUUUUGGCUGGUGUUCCUCAACAUAGCAUCCCAGGACCAAUCCUGUUCAUGAACUACAUCAAUGAUCUCUGCUUAACUGGAAGAAUCCAUUCUACCUUCUGCCAGAUGGGUUGCAGCAACACAACUUUACAAAUCUUUGAAAAUAGCAACAGAUCAUCUCCCAGGAACAUAUUAUUUAACACCGGAACAUCCCACUCUUACUUUGUCUCUCCUUAAAGACCAGCUUGAAAAUCCCCAAGUUGUUUUUGUGGUCAUCUUCUGGGAGAGGUCUAAUCCUCAGAGUUCUUGGGCCUCACCAUCAGUUGUAACUUAUCUUCGGUAGAUCCAAUCUCCAAGCUGGCCUCCAUAGCUCCCUACCACCAAAUCUCUGCAAGCCAAGUCUUUCUUCUGCCAAGCUUAGUUUAUGACGCUAUCCAAAGGUUCAUCCAAAGUGCAAUGGGAUAUGGCUCCCCAUUAUGGGCUGGUGCUACUGCCUCCCAUUUUGUCAUUCUCAAGGCCAUGGAAUCCAAGGUCUUCCAUAACAUAUGAAUUUGUUACUGGAGAGUGAGAUUAAGGAUCUACUUUCUAAUCUUAUUCAAGUUGGUGGCUUAGGAUUUGUUUUCAAGCUCUACUCUUAGUCUUCUCCUACCCUCCCAUACCCCUGUUCUUCCAUGUUGUAUGCAUUCUGUAAGAGUUCCUUUUCUUAUUCCCCUCCCUACCUCUCAACUUUAUGCUCACCUCCAUUAUUUCAUACCCCUCUUUUCUCACCUGUGAAAGUGUCUUACCGAGUUAAUUCUCAAGCACUAAUUUCAAGUCUGAUAUACACCACCAUCACAUGGUCUCUCCACUUUGUAUUACUGAAGUUUUCUACACCCAUUGAGACCCUGUUCCAACCCUUGUGCUGCAUUUUCUCUUGUCAUGCUUUGGUGCUUCCAUUUGUUGUCAUUCCACUGUUUUCCCUUUGCGUAUUUUGUCUGUAGAUCAUUUGCCCCCUGUUGUUCUGUUCUCCCAUGAGCCUCACCACCUGUAUUUACAAAAAAAAUAUAAAAAAGUUGUGCUUUCCACCAGCCAGAACGACAAAGCAGAAUGUGCCUUUAAAUUCAUUAUUUUCAUGCAAUGUCCCAUCUGUCCCAUUGAUACAAAGGACCAAACACUUUUAUUUAUUACUUACAAAAUGUAAAGAUUUCGUAAGUAUAUUGAUGACUUCCCUCCUCUGUUUGUGUGUUUGUUUGUUUGUUUGUAGGCACGAUAACUCGAGAACGGAAGAAGCUACCAAUGUCAAAUUGCACCACGUGAUAGCAAGCGCUGAUUAGAUUUUGGUCAAAAUCGGUCAAAGGUCACAGUGAGGUCAAACAUAAUUCCGUAAAUUCAUGUGAAGAAAUGGAGUAUUUUUGCUUCGCUCGAUGUUACGAGUUCGUUUUAAUUGCGAUUUUAAUUUUGUCUUCGGUUUUUGCGAUCGCUUAGGAUGCUUAAAACUCGGUUGUCGAAAUUCUGGUAAAAAUCGGAUGUUUUGGAGACGUUUUAAGAUUGUAUAAAAAAUAUUUCACUUGCGCUUCACGGGUCGUCACGUGAUGCAGUGCGCUCGAGCAGACG
ensembl:lincRNA